GGGUUGUGAGGUUAAGCGACUAAGCGUACACGGUGGAUGCCCUGGCAGUCAGAGGCGAUGAAGGACGUGCUAAUCUGCGAAAAGCGUCGGUAAGGUGAUAUGAACCGUUAUAACCGGCGAUGUCCGAAUGGGGAAACCCAGUGCAAUUCGUUGCACUAUCGUUAACUGAAUACAUAGGUUAACGAGGCGAACCGGGGGAACUGAAACAUCUAAGUACCCCGAGGAAAAGAAAUCAACCGAGAUUCCCCCAGUAGCGGCGAGCGAACGGGGAGCAGCCCAGAGUCUGAAUCAGCUUGUGUGUUAGUGGAACGGUCUGGAAAGUCCGACGGUACAGGGUGAUAGUCCCGUACACCAAAAUGCACAGGCUGUGAACUCGAAGAGUAGGGCGGGACACGUGGUAUCCUGUCUGAAUAUGGGGGGACCAUCCUCCAAGGCUAAAUACUCCUGACUGACCGAUAGUGAACCAGUACCGUGAGGGAAAGGCGAAAAGAACCCCGGCGAGGGGAGUGAAAAAGAACCUGAAACCGUGUACGUACAAGCAGUGGGAGCACCUUCGGGUGUGACUGCGUACCUUUUGUAUAAUGGGUCAGCGACUUAUAUUCUGUAGCAAGGUUAACCGUAUAGGGGAGCCGCAGGGAAACCGAGUCUUAACUGGGCGUUAAGUUGCAGGGUAUAGACCCGAAACCCGGUGAUCUAGCCAUGGGCAGGUUGAAGGUUGGGUAACACUAACUGGAGGACCGAACCGACUAAUGUUGAAAAAUUAGCGGAUGACUUGUGGCUGGGGGUGAAAGGCCAAUCAAACCGGGAGAUAGCUGGUUCUCCCCGAAAGCUAUUUAGGUAGCGCCUCGUGAACUCAUCUUCGGGGGUAGAGCACUGUUUCGGCUAGGGGGUCAUCCCGACUUACCAACCCGAUGCAAACUACGAAUACCGAAGAAUGUUAUCACGGGAGACACACGGCGGGUGCUAACGUCCGUCGUGAAGAGGGAAACAACCCAGACCGCCAGCUAAGGUCCCAAAGUCAUGGUUAAGUGGGAAACGAUGUGGGAAGGCACAGACAGCCAGGAUGUUGGCUUAGAAGCAGCCAUCAUUUAAAGAAAGCGUAAUAGCUCACUGGUCGAGUCGGCCUGCGCGGAAGAUGUAACGGGGCUAAACCAUGCACCGAAGCUGCGGCAGCGACACUAUGUGUUGUUGGGUAGGGGAGCGUUCUGUAAGCCUGCGAAGGUGACCUGUGAGGGUUGCUGGAGGUAUCAGAAGUGCGAAUGCUGACAUAAGUAACGAUAAAGCGGGUGAAAAGCCCGCUCGCCGGAAGACCAAGGGUUCCUGUCCAACGUUAAUCGGGGCAGGGUGAGUCGACCCCUAAGGCGAGGCCGAAAGGCGUAGUCGAUGGGAAACAGGUUAAUAUUCCUGUACUUGGUGUUACUGCGAAGGGGGGACGGAGAAGGCUAUGUUAGCCGGGCGACGGUUGUCCCGGUUUAAGCAUGUAGGCUGGUUGUCCAGGCAAAUCCGGAUAAUCAAGGCUGAGGUGUGAUGACGAGGCACUACGGUGCUGAAGUAACAAAUGCCCUGCUUCCAGGAAAAGCCUCUAAGCAUCAGGUAACAUCAAAUCGUACCCCAAACCGACACAGGUGGUCAGGUAGAGAAUACCAAGGCGCUUGAGAGAACUCGGGUGAAGGAACUAGGCAAAAUGGUGCCGUAACUUCGGGAGAAGGCACGCUGGUGUGUAGGUGAAGCCCCUGCGGGUGGAGCUGAGACCAGUCGAAGAUACCAGCUGGCUGCAACUGUUUAUUAAAAACACAGCACUGUGCAAACACGAAAGUGGACGUAUACGGUGUGACGCCUGCCCGGUGCCGGAAGGUUAAUUGAUGGGGUUAUCCGUAAGGAGAAGCUCUUGAUCGAAGCCCCGGUAAACGGCGGCCGUAACUAUAACGGUCCUAAGGUAGCGAAAUUCCUUGUCGGGUAAGUUCCGACCUGCACGAAUGGCGUAAUGAUGGCCAGGCUGUCUCCACCCGAGACUCAGUGAAAUUGAACUCGCUGUGAAGAUGCAGUGUACCCGCGGCAAGACGGAAAGACCCCGUGAACCUUUACUAUAGCUUGACACUGAACAUUGAGCCUUGAUGUGUAGGAUAGGUGGGAGGCUUUGAAGCGUGGACGCCAGUCUGCGUGGAGCCAACCUUGAAAUACCACCCUUUAAUGUUUGAUGUUCUAACGUUGGCCCCUGACCGGGGUUGCGGACAGUGUCUGGUGGGUAGUUUGACUGGGGCGGUCUCCUCCCAAAGCGUAACGGAGGAGCACGAAGGUUAGCUAAUCCUGGUCGGACAUCAGGAGGUUAGUGCAAUGGCAUAAGCUAGCUUGACUGCGAGCGUGACGGCGCGAGCAGGUGCGAAAGCAGGUCAUAGUGAUCCGGUGGUUCUGAAUGGAAGGGCCAUCGCUCAACGGAUAAAAGGUACUCCGGGGAUAACAGGCUGAUACCGCCCAAGAGUUCAUAUCGACGGCGGUGUUUGGCACCUCGAUGUCGGCUCAUCACAUCCUGGGGCUGAAGUAGGUCCCAAGGGUAUGGCUGUUCGCCAUUUAAAGUGGUACGCGAGCUGGGUUUAGAACGUCGUGAGACAGUUCGGUCCCUAUCUGCCGUGGGCGCUGGAGAAUUGAGGGGGGCUGCUCCUAGUACGAGAGGACCGGAGUGGACGCAUCACUGGUGUUCGGGUUGUCAUGCCAAUGGCACUGCCCGGUAGCUAAAUGCGGAAGAGAUAAGUGCUGAAAGCAUCUAAGCACGAAACUUGCCCCGAGAUGAGUUCUCCCUGAGACUUUAAGUCUCCUGAAGGAACGUUGAAGACGACGACGUUGAUAGGCCGGGUGUGUAAGCGCAGCGAUGUGUUGAGCUAACCGGUACUAAUGAACCGUGAGGCUUAACCUUACAACGCCGAAG
rnacentral:rRNA from 1 species